AGUAGCGGUGAAAUGCGUAGAUAUCUGGAGGAAUACCAAAGGCGAAGGCAGUCCCCUGGUCCGAUACUGACACUGAGGUACGAAAGCGUGGGGAGCAAACAGGAUUAGAUACCCUGGUAGUCCACGCCCUAAACGAUGUCGAUUAGCCAUUGGAAGGACCCCUUUUCCUUUCAGUGACGUAGCUAACGCGUUAAAUCGACCGCCUGGGAAGUACGACCGCAAGGUUAAAACUCAAAGGAGUUGACGGGGACCUGAACAAGCGGUGAAUGAUGUGGAUUAAUUCGAUGCUACGCGAAGAACCUUACCUACCUUUGACAUGGCCAAAGUUCUACCGAGAGGCGGAAGUACUCGUAAGAGGAUUGGCGCACAGGUGCUGCAUGGUUGUCGUCAGUUCGUGUCGUGAGAUGUUGGGUUCAGUCCCGCAACGAACGCAACCCUUAUCUUUAAUUGCUCCUAUUUUAACAGGCACUUUAAAGAAACUGCCAAUGAUAAGUUGGAGGAAGGUGGGGAUCACGUCAAGUCCGCAUGGCCUUUAUAGGUAGGGCUUCACACGUCAUACAAUGGUUAGAACAAAGAGCUGCAAAUUCGUAAGAAGGAGCCAAUCUCACAAACCUAACCUCAGUUCGAAUUGCGGUCUGCAACUCGAGCGCAUGAAGCCGGAAUCGCUAGUAAUCGUGGAUCAGAAUGCCA
rnacentral:rRNA from 1 species